rnacentral:rRNA from 1 species
GAACCUUUACUAUAGCUUGACACUGAACAUUGAGCCUUGAUGUGUAGGAUAGGUGGGAGGCUUUGAAGUGUGGACGCCAGUCUGCAUGGAGCCGACCUUGAAAUACCACCCUUUAAUGUUUGAUGUUCUAACGUGGGCCCCUUACCGGGGUUGCGGACAGUGUCUGGUGGGUAGUUUGACUGGGGCGGUCUCCUCCUAAAGAGUAACGGAGGAGCACGAAGGUUGGCUAAUCCUGGUCGGACAUCAGGAGGUUAGUGCAAUGGCAUAAGCCAGCUUGACUGCGAGCGUGACGGCGCGAGCAGGUGCGAAAGCAGGUCAUAGUGAUCCGGUGGUUCUGAAUGGAAGGGCCAUCGCUCAACGGAUAAAAGGUACUCCGGGGAUAACAGGCUGAUACCGCCCAAGAGUUCAUAUCGACGGCGGUGUUUGGCACCUCGAUGUCGGCUCAUCACAUCCUGGGGCUGAAGUAGGUCCCAAGGGUAUGGCUGUUCGCCAUUUAAAGUGGUACGCGAGCUGGGUUUAGAACGUCGUGAGACAGUUCGGUCCCUAUCUGCCGUGGGCGCUGGAGAACUGAGGGGGGCUGCUCCUAGUACGAGAGGACCGGAGUGGACGCAUCACUGGUGUUCGGGUUGUCAUGCCAAUGGCACUGCCCGGUAGCUAAAUGCGGAAGAGAUAAGUGCUGAAAGCAUCUAAGCACGAAACUUGCCCCGAGAUGAGUUCUCCCUGACUCCUUGAGAGUCCUGAAGGAACGUUGAAGACGACGACGUUGAUAGGCCGGGUGUGUAAGCGCAGCGAUGCGUUGAGCUAACCGGUACUAAUGAACCGUGAGG